GACGAACGCUGGCGGCGUGCCUAAUACAUGCAAGUAGAACGCUGAAGAGAGGAGCUUGCUCUUCUUGGAUGAGUUGCGAACGGGUGAGUAACGCGUAGGUAACCUGCCUUGUAGCGGGGGAUAACUAUUGGAAACGAUAGCUAAUACCGCAUAACAAUGGAUGACACAUGUCAUUUAUUUGAAGGGGGCAAUUGCUCCACUACAAGAUGGACCUGCGUUGUAUUAGCUAGUAGGUGAGGUAAUGGCUCACCUAGGCGACGAUACAUAGCCGACCUGAGAGGGUGAUCGGCCACACUGGGACUGAGACACGGCCCAGACUCCUACGGGAGGCAGCAGUAGGGAAUCUUCGGCAAUGGGGGCAACCCUGACCGAGCAACGCCGCGUGAGUGAAGAAGGGUUUCGGAUCGUAAAGCUCUGUUGUAAGUCAAGAACGGGUGUGAGAGUGGAAAGUUCACACUGUGACGGUAGCUUACCAGAAAGGGACGGCUAACUACGUG
rnacentral:rRNA from 1 species